rnacentral:lncRNA from 1 species
CAACAAACUUGCUGCAGCAGAUCACACGAAGGGGACAAAACUGGAUCAAGUAAAGAGCAAAGUUGAUUAUUGAACGUGAAAGAAAGAAAUUUAUUUGUAAGUAUAAGAAAUUUCAGAUUAUAGAAUUAACUUCAAUUCUAUGCCUAACAGAGGAGUAGUUCUGAACAAGGAAUUUGAGUUUAAUUUUAGUCAUUUUAAGAAAAUUAAGGUUGAUUUUAGUCCUGUUUGAGUCUUUUUGCCUCACACUGUUUCAGUCAAAAAUCAAUCAGAGGAACUCGGUUACUAUUCUUAAAUGAAGUUGAUGUUUUUGUUAAAACUUAAUAAGGAUAUGUCUUCUAGUUGUUAAAAAUUUGGAGACAACAGAAUAUCCUACUUGUUCAAAUGUUUUGGCCAAAAAUAUAUAACAUUUUUGGCUGUAAAUUUACAGUAAAUUACUGGCUAUUUGGUUUACUUAUUUUCACAGCAAGUUACUGUAAAUACUUCAGAAUAAUUUAUUGCGCCUGUAUGGACUUCACAGUAAAAUUCAACAUUUCAAUAUUGUAGGGUAAACAUUAUGGUAAAAGCCUAUAAAGUGUCAUUUACUGUGAAAUAUUACAGUUAAGUACUGUAAUAAUUCACAGAGUAGCUUCGACUUUGAAUGCCUUAAAAUUGCAUUGACAAAAAACUACAAAAAAAUCUGUUUUAUUACAUAUAUUAAUGGUUGCUAAAUGACUCUGAGUUGGUACAAGUCACAGGAAGUCAUAAGCCAUAAUCUAUCCAAGUCAUAAUAAGGUGCUGAUUUUUUGUGAUGUUGGCUGCUAGCAGUAGCUUCAUUUGCCUUUUGAUAAGCUAUGCUAAACCAACUAGCUAGUUUUGGCUGCUUCCCUCUGACUGUGUUACAUCUUACUAACAUGCAACUGGUAACAAUCAUCCAACGAUAAUUACAAAGAUGCAAAGAGACAUUGAGAGUUUUACGAGCACGCAGAGAUGUGAUCAGUUAACUGGAGAGUCACUGGUUCGCACUGGCCAAACUGGAGUGAGGACACCUACCCCCCCUAACAGUUUUAGGCAUUAAAAUUAGGAAAUAAAAACCACCAAUCUUGCCAAUAUUAUUAAAAGGUAUCAAAAUGAAUUAUAGUAUAUUUCAAAUAUGUCAAAAAACUCCUGAUAGGAGCUUUAAUAAUACUUGAUUACAACAAAUAUUUUAAUAGGAUAUGACAGUAGUGUUACAAGUUGCAGUCAAGCUAACUAUUUUUACAUAAAAUAUCACAAAAUUGCAAAGAAAAAUGACAUAAUGUUGAUGUUUUGACCAAUUUUAGCCAAAAAUAUUGAUAUCACAAGGUCGAAAGGUCUCUUGUUGUAACUGUACUUAAAAAAUAAGACCUGGUUUGAAGGCACCAUUUGUCCAUUGGGGCAAUAUGAGCAGAGAUUUUGCUUUCUUUCCUCAUCAGUGUCUUUACAAUUGAGGUAAUCGGCUCUAAUUUGUCAUGAAAAACAUCUACAUCAGUGAAUAUUUAUCAUUAACAUUCUUGUUGACAUUAUUAACUUUGCUAAAGAGCUAAUACAAACCCGGAGUGGCUCUGAUGUUUAGUGAAGUAGUUAUCGAGACAAACACGGAUCUAUAUGGGAGGUUGCUGCUUCUGUGUCGGAGCAGCUUGUAUUUCUUUUCAACAAAUUUGACUUGAACGCACGUACACUUCGAUAUUUGCUCCAGCCCUGCCCUUAAAAAACAUAAAAUGACAGAAAAGCCUCAGAUAAAAUCCCAGUGUGCAUUGUAUCGGUCUUGUUUACACUGACGGAUUCCCUUACCACUUGUGUUAAAUGUAGCCCUCCGUGUUAUUCUACCGAGCAAGAAAGAAAACAAUUACUGAAAAUGAGGCCGAGUUGAGAGAGGGCCUGUGUGUAAAAUAACAAAGACGUGCGACUGUUUGGAUCUGAUAAGCUCUGUCGAGUGUUUCCUCUAAUGCCUCUGAAAAUAAACAGCUGGGUUGAUGAGGUGAAUGGAGGCUUGGUUCAGGUCCUAACCGCGGACUGAGCCCGGGAGCUUGUUUUAGGGGUUGGACCGGCGAGGAGCAGCUAAGGGCCCCCAUCAGUGGCUCAGGCGCCGAGUGAGUUAAACAGGUUAGUGUGUUGGCCGUCUGAACCUGCUGGGACACACACACUUUCACAGUAACACACUCGGGCAGAACUACAUGUACAUGCAGAUAGAAGAGAAACACAGGAAUGAGAGCGGCAUUCCCAGAGCUCCCAGCUGUUGACUGUGAGAUUCUGUCUGUCAUCGACUACAAGAUUAAGAUGCCUUUAUGCUCUUAUGUAAAGUAUGAAUGACGUGUGUCAUGGCUCUGCUUAUCACAAAAUGGAUCUUGGCUUUCAAAACACAUUUCUGACAUCAUUCCUGCAGACACAUCUCCAUAUAAACAUUACUGUCUCUGAAAUCUUACAGGGAUAAACAAACAGUCCGAGAACUGCUGAUUUUUAUCUCAGAUUUUGUCAUAAUCUCUUCAAAUUAACUCCACUUUCUUAUCUUUUCUUGAAUAUAACAUGUUUUUAUCAUUCAUUACUUGAUUGCAGUUUGAUUUUAUCUAUGGUGUCCACCCAUCUGCACAUUUUUUCCGCAAUAUAACAUUGUACGAAUUUUAACUGCUUUGUAAUCAGCAGAAAUGAGAACAAUAAAAAGACGUCACUUGCAGCCAAAAGCUGACUUUGCUCUUUCGACUUAUCACCUGCUUUAAUUUUAACACCCAGGAUUAAAGCAAACUAAGAGGACACCGGACACCUCAAUAAAACUGAUAUUUUACUGGCAUAUUAAUCAUCUGUGAGGGCUCAGAAACUAAGCUGCUGCAGAAGUGACACUUUCAUGAUAAUACAUGCAUUCGAUUUUGAGUCUUUCCAGCUUUAGAUGAUGCCCUUAAUUAAUGAAAAAUGGUGAUAACAAAUUAUAAUUGUAGAGAAAGUUAAACCUGAAUUUGUAGACCCAGAUGUCCAACAUAGAUCGGACAUGGUAUAGGAAGGCCUGGUAUGAAACUUGCUGAUGUUUCUAUCCAGUUUUUGGUGAAGUAUAAGAAUAAAACCAAAGACUUUUAGCUUGAAAAGAAUCCAGCCAAAGAUACAUCUUAAUAUUUGCAAAUUCCCACUAUGGAGCCGUUUAUGCAAUGUGCUGAAUGAUUAAAAACUUAUGCAAGAGUCACAACUCCAGACUGAGUCAUGUGGACAUGUCCUGUAAGAGGAUAGCAAACAUCUAUGCUGGCUAGAAAAACAGACACCUUAUGCCGUAAUAAAUAAGAGAUUUAUCAUCAUUCAUUCACACUAAUGGAAGGCUAAGUACGUGCUUAUGUGCACAAGUUGGGAUGUGUUGUAACAUCAGGCUAAAACUAUGCAAAGUCUUUGGUCCUGUGUAUGAAUCUGUUGUGUCGCCUAACUGGAAUCUCUGUAUGCAGGGCGGUAUGAGUUGGAUGGACUUAAGAAGUUGUAGCUUGGUUGCAGGGACAGAUCCAGGGGGUUAGCCAAGGUGGUCUGGGCCCCUUUUAAAAUCUGACUGGCCACCCUAAGUACAACCCAAAAUCUUAAAUAAACCUUUCUGACAAAACAAGUAGGUUUUUUGCAUUAAAUGUAAUUUCGGAUGGUAAUGAAAGCCUCUACUUUGACUUAUUAUGAUUAAGUUUUUAAAUGUACAUUACGAAACGUUUUGCCCCCAAACCACAUACAUAGUACUCAUCCACACAAUCAAGCGACAAUAUUCCUCACCAUACAUUUUGAACAAUUGUGUCUGAUACUCCCUACUCUCAUCUCAUGUGUGUUUUUGCUCUGCUUGCCUUUUUUGCUGCUGUACCAUAAUCUUUUAUGUCUCUCUUUUUUUGUUGUUGUUUUUGUCUCUUGUUUUUGUCUUCUUUGGUGCUGUUUCUUAAAUUUCUUAUUAUUUUUGUUUCAAUUAUUAUUCAGAUUGCAUUUCGCUCCUUUGCAUGUCUUGUUAAAUGUUUGCAAUAAAAAAAAGACAUAAUUAUGAAAUCUACGUUGUGCAAACUACUGCGAUAGUGACAUCAAAUCAGUGCGCCAUAGCUCCCCCAGCGGUCAAAAACUAAACAGCGUAACGCAAAUGAGAAAGUCAUGUCAGUGAUCCAGUGUUUCCAAGCGUUUGUCUGAUCUUGUCGGAGUAUUCGAGCUGACCAGACAGACCAGGUCUCACAAGUGAGUGCCACUGAAUCACCUUGAAGGUGUGUGUGUGUUGUGUUUAACCCAAUAUAUUCUGACCUCAUCCUCCCUUUAGAUGGCUCUAAAAAUAGCGUUUCAGAGAGUCUGGACACCCACGCCCAGCUGGUGUCACACCUGUAUGUGACACGUAGGCGUGUAAAACUGCAUUGAAGGUGAGUUUGUUCAGAGAUUUCAUAACUCGGUAUAACAAAGCUUGUGGUUGUUUAUUUAGAAAGCUGUAUAAAUUAAAAGCCGGCGGUUUUUAUGGUCUAAGGUUCUGAGGAUGAAUAUUUCUCUGUCAUACUGCGCAUAGACAAGACAAAAUAAAUUAAAUACCACCGUCCAACUUCCUUGACAUUAUCGGCUCAUCAGGGCGAGUGAUGUGAGCAAGACAGAGAGAAUGUGGGAAUUUCACCGUCAGACAGGUAGAGACAGGACAGGGCUGCCAGCACACAGGAACUUUAAUUCAUUCAUAAAAACCGCAGAAAACAAAACAUGCUUUAUCAUCCUGACAUGCUGCGUCUCUCAACCUGUCCGGCUGGCUCUUUCUCAGCACUUCUUUACCCCCCUUUUGUGAUUCAGCUUCUGAAGAUUAAAGAAUUUAAGAGGAAAGGGAUGAAAAGGUUAUGUUGUUUUGUAUAAACAUGUUAAGUAUUAAAAAUGUAGCUAGAGUCAUGAAACAAUAAAAAAAUGCCACUGGAGACAUUUGGUUUGUGGUCAAGAGACAGGAUGUCCCAGAUCUGUCUGUUUGGAGAAAAUAUUACUAUAAUUGUAUGAUAUUUUAACGUCAAUUUGUGCAACAAUUAUAAUAUAGAAAGACUGAAUCUUGAAUAUAGGGUUUAUUUUAAAUGUCGGCUGAAUUAAGUGAGUGACACUGCGUCAGUGUAGAUGCAGCUAACAACAGAGAAGUGAUAAUGGUUGGUCGGUAACACUCGUCUGUGCUUCCAGCUGCACCAUUCUGAGGAAGUUCAGGGCCCAGCUCUGGCUCUGAUUGCUCGUUUGAGUUCACAGGCUUAAAUAAAGACACUUAAUCACAAACGCUCGGUGGAGUUUUUUCUUCUCCUGGAUUGUGCUGGACUUUGCCAAGACCUCAGGCAGUCACAUCUCUGGAUUGGAGGUAAAAUAUUCCCUUUAGAUUACUCAAUGACUCACAAAAAUAACUGUCUUGAGAGAAAUAUGAUACACGUAUCAUUUAGAUUUAAACACAACACGGCAAUUAUGCCAGAUUUUAGCCAACAUGUGCUUUACCGCACAUGUUUGAGGCACAGUCAUGAAUUUUACAACCGUAUUAAAUGCAGGUCUGUUUAUACAUGUUACAGAACAAUUUAACCUACAGAUUCAUUAAACUGAAAUAUGCGAGGGUUAUUAUACACAUUACUGAUGUACCUGAGCUAAUGAGGAAUUUCUCUGUAACUACUCAGUGUGAUGUUUCCCUGAGGGGGCACAGUAAGAGUAAUUCCUGAUUAAGUCAUUUGUAAUGAAAAAGCUAAUCACUAGACAGCAUUUGUUAUUCUGAUUUGCAAAAAUCCAUGUGGUAAAAAAGCUUUAGUGUCUCAUCAUUAUCUUCUGUUUGGCCAUCUAUAUGGGAAUACCUCUUCACUGUAAAAACUCAAAUCUAAGUAAAUGUUUCUGUCUUAACUUUAGGUUUAAAUUCAGCCAAAUUCCCCUGACAUGUCCAGAAAAAUGUCUCACUUCAAGAUAUUACCUGCCAAAACUAUGACCUGAAUUGCUUAUAACGAGUAAAAAUUAAUCUGCCAAUAGAAUAGGGAAAAGAAUCAAACAAGAUAUUUUCACAUUUCAAGGAACUUGAUAUUUAUUUGGAUUAAUUUGAGAUUUUAUCAAAGUCUAUUGGCCGAUUUUCUUACUCAAAAUGAACAUUAAAAAAAAAAAAUGUUGGUGUGUAAUAUUUUAAAAUGAAAUAUUUUGGACCCGUCGAGUGAAUUCAGCCUGAACUGAGACUGAUAGACAUUGAUAAGUACAAAAAAGUCUUUGCAGUCUGAUAACUGUUUAUUUCUCAGGAUGCUCUUGGUUUUCCUGCCACUUGUUCAUUCUUUCCGGAAACUUUUGAUUUUGGCACCACGUGUGGACAAAACCUGAAGUUUUUGUUGAUUCAAUCUUGUGCAUGUAAAGAGAGUGGUAUAAAGCAGAAAACAUACUUUUUAUUGCUAAUUGCAUCACUUGCUGUAAGUUUUUAUGGUGGAAAAUGUAGUCCUAUUAAAUUAAUCAAUUCAACACGAAAAAUUAGACAAAAAUCGAUCAUAUGUUUACUUUGGAAUGUCAUAUAGAAAUAUUUCUAAUAUACAAUUCAUAAUGUUUAAAAGCAAAGCAAAAUCCCCUUAUAGGACCAUGUUUUUAAUUUUAUUACAGAUGAAUCCUAGAUUGUAUUUUUUUUUUAUAUUUGGCUGUAAACCACAUUUAUGCUUAAAUACCUCACAUUACAUUUCAUUAGCUCGGGGUUACAUUCAAAUUUCAUAUAGUUUCAGUUGCUUUCCAUUAGAAGACAAUAGAUUCAUGCAGAUUUGGGUCACAACAGAUAAACAGCAUCGAAAGGGCUGAAUUAAAAUCUCAACGUUGACAUGUGAACAUAACGAAGUAUGACCUCACUGCCAAGCCAGCUGGUGCUUCUCUUUAAUAUCCCAAAUCAUAACAAAAUUGCAUUACAGAUCAAAAUAACUGCAAAUUUUACAUUAAGUUACUAAGCCCUAAUUUUGACAUACUGUUAAAAACCGAAUGAGACUCUUAUUACAGGUUGUCAGUUGCGGUUUUGGGCCACUCGAACAGGUGCUGAUCAAAUCAAAUUGAUCCUACUCUUCAAGUCAAACAUAUAAAAACAGGAAAAACAAGGUGACAGCACUCCGACUUGGCCUCUUCCCUUUCUCAACAACACCAAUUUCCCGAACAGCCAACAAAACCUGCUGAUCAGCUCCCACUGAGCUGUUUUUCUUAUGAAUAGAAGUCAAUUAAAUCUCUGACAAUUUCUGGUGGUCCUUUUUUAUUGUUCUGACACUUUCUACAUAACUGUUUACAGGGUGGGCAAGGCUGUCUGCCCACAGCAUAUAAAAACGGCCCAACACACCUGGAAAAUAAAAUGCUGCUGGAAAACGCUUGUCUUCCAGGGCAACAUAAAAUUCUGCCACCUCUACUCAUGACUAAUUGGCUGUUAACACUGUUUUAACAAACCUGAGCUGCAGUGUUACACUGAUGUGCAAAUGAACAGGCGUGAUUGGAAGAGACGUCAACCAGCGCUGGCAAAAUGGAAACCAGUAGUCGGUUAAAAAUGGGUGUGAGGCGCUGCUGUAUUUCUCUUAUGCAGAUGACGUCACGGUGUUUACCCUCCAAACAUCUCUAGUAGGUGAUUUAUCUGAACAACAUGUUCAGCUGACUGGAUCUGUACGGCAUGUCCAGGGAGCGGAUACUAUUUCAGGUUUUUGGCAGCCUGUUGACGACUGUUUCUUCAUAGAUAUCAGAUAAUAGCUUACCUGGACUGAAAGGUCAAUAAAAGAUGUUUUUUAAUGUUGUCUUGAUUGGAAAUAAAAUAUCAGGUUUUGAUUCUUUUGCUGUCUAGUGGUUGCAUGAUGCGGAUGGCAUAGCGUUGCAACAUAUCAACGUGCAGCCAACUGUAUUUGUACAGCAUGUUCAGGUAUGUGUAUCAUAUUUCAGGUGUUUUUCAGGUGUUGCGAGUCAUCGACUCUUUCAUAAUGCAAAUGGUGCAACAGUUAAAAGGGUUGUAAGCCCUUAGCGGUCAAAACUGCAAAAUUUCAUCACUUUAGCAAAUUAGCUCUAGAAUUACUGGUCUGUUCAACAAGUUUAUUUUAUUUUUUAGCUGUAGGCCUAAGAUUUCCACCACAGUCAGCUGUGGUUUAAGGUAAAUAUCCUGCUGUAAUAAUGCUCCACUACCCAGAUGUAAUCAAGCACAGGUGACAGAUAGAAACUCUGUCAAGAAAUAGGGAUGUACGUGGGCUACAUCUAGUUAAUUGCUUUUAGCGAUUACACAACCAGCAUGGCACGGACAGUCCAGACCUAUUGCUGGUGGUGCUAGCUCUGCCAGUGUUAGCUACACCCUGUAUCCAAUCAGCCAAAGAGGCUCUGAUGCAGAGUUUAGUCAUGGUCAGUCAAAUUAACUGUAAUCUGAGUCUUUAGCUCAGUCAGCUCGCCAGAAUUCAAUUUUUUAUCUGAAUGACUUCUGAGGUGUUUUAAGCUAAAUGUGAGUUUUAAUGCUAGUGGGUUUACUGUGUUUAUUCUAUGCAGAUGACACCAUCUUGUACAAAUGCCUCUUCGUGAACAACACAGUUAAUACCGAUUUGAUAUCCUCACUUUUUCCUCAAUUUCCUGUUCUUCCUGUUCACACUGUACACGUCAGACUUCAAAUACAGUACUGAGUCCUGCCACGUCCAGAAAUACUCAGAUGACACCGCUAUUGUGGCAUGUAUCAGAAAUGGACAAGAAGCUGAAUACAGAGAUCUAAUAAGAGCCUUCAGUGACUGGAGUCACAAAAACUGCCUCCUCCUCAACACCUCAAAGACAAAGGAGAUGGUCGUAGAUCCAACAAAAAAACAUAAUAUGUGAGACAACAGACGAUUGUAUUUCCCUUCGG